rnacentral:rRNA from 1 species
UACGGAGGGGGCUAGCGUUGUUCGGAAUUACUGGGCGUAAAGCGCACGUAGGCGGCUUUGCAAGUUAGAGGUGAAAGCCCGGGGCUCAACCCCGGAAUUGCCUUUAAAACUGCAUCGCUAGAAUUGUGGAGAGGUAAGUGGAAUUCCGAGUGUAGAGGUGAAAUUCGUAGAUAUUCGGAAGAACACCAGUGGCGAAGGCGACUUACUGGACACAUAUUGACGCUGAGGCACGAAAGCGUGGGGAGCAAACAGG